rnacentral:tRNA from 1 species
GCGCAUGUGGUGAAAUGGUAGACACGCUAGGUUUAGGUCCUAGUGCUGGUUAACAGCGUGGGGGUUCAAGUCCCUUCAUGCGCA